CUACGGGUGGCUGCAGUGAGGAAUAUUGCACAAUGGGGGGAACCCUGAUGCAGCAACGCCGCGUGGAGGAUGACGCAUUUCGGUGUGUAAACUCCUUUUAUAUGUCAAGGACAUGCAAGUAGCAUAUGAAUAAGCACCGGCUAACUCCGUGCCAGCAGCCGCGGUAAUACGGAGGGUGCAAGCGUUACUCGGAAUCACUGGGCGUAAAGGACGCGUAGGCGGGUUGGAAAGUCAGGUGUGAAAUCCUACAGCUUAACUGUAGAACUGCACUUGAAACUUCUAAUCUAGAGUAUGGGAGGGGGAGAUGGAAUUAGUGGUGUAGGGGUAAAAUCCGUAGAUAUCACUAGGAAUACCUAAAGCGAAGGCGAUCUCCUGGAACAUUACUGACGCUAAGGCGUGAAAGCGUGGGGAGCAAACAGGAUUAGAUACCCCCGUAGUC
rnacentral:rRNA from 1 species